GUUCUUCUCUCUCUUACUCAAAUACCCAAAAAAAACCCUAAGUCAUCACCAAAUCUCCGAUCUCCCACCGGCAAAAUGUCUCCACCUACUCUCUGCCCUCAUACUAUUUCUCUCAAUUAAAAAUGCAAAAACCCUCAAUCAGAUAACCAUGGCUACUUCUCCCUUCCUUAUCUUCUCAAAAACCCCAAAUUUCGUUAGCUGUAAAUCAAUUGCGAAUCCGACCUGAAGACCGGUACCAUACUUCGAGCUCACUCUCCUUCCGGAAGAUUCUACACCUCGCCAUCGUCAAACUCGUUUGCUUCCUCCACCUCUGCCUUCUCGUCGAGCCUGUCGUCGUUCUUUCAGAGUCGAUCUACAUCACCUACAAGUGUCAACGUAUACGGAUCAUCUCCAUCGGCGUCGAAUAUACGAUUUUCUCUCAAUAAUCGUCAAAUUUCUCCGAGUUGUUCGAUCUCUGUAAUUCCGAGGAGUAAUAAUAGUAAUCAAGCGUCAAAAAAGAAGUUGGAUAAACCAAGGAGGAUGUGUAUGUGUUCUCCUACUUCGCAUCCAGAUUAUGUAGGCAAGCUGUUCGAUGAAAUGCCAGGAGACGAGUUUUGGUUUGAACUAAAAGCCAUCAGAUGGUAUCUUGUUUCUGUUGACCCACCUUUGACCGUACUUCCAUGGUAUGUGUCACACUUGCUAGGAAUGUUGGAGAGAUGCGAACAGAAACAAAGUUGCUUCCCCAAUGUUGGGAGCAAAUUAGUCACAUGUAUGAGGAAGGCAGGCUGCUUGUAGCUCAAUCAUGUGUGGAGCUUGUAGGAUUUGUGGAACUGAAGCCACCUUCUCUUGGUAAGUGGAAAAGUUUUUUAUGUGAUUAUAUAUGUUGCAGAUCAACCGAGUUUAAUUUAUUCACUGUGAAUCAUUUCUGCAUAGGGAUAUAAAGCCAGACAACUUCCUUAUGGGUUUAGGGAGGCGUGCUAAUCAGGUCUAUGCUAUUGAUUUCGGGCUAGCCAAGAAAUAUAGAGACUCUUCAACUCAUCGGCACAUUCCAUAUAGAGAGAACAAGAAUUUGACAGGGACAGCUAGAUAUGCAAGCAUGAACCCAAGCCUGAUGAAACAUAAGAGGUCAGUUUAAUGUGAACUUAUUGUAUGCAAGCAUUAAUCCAUCUUCUGAGCAAUAUUGGACAAGAAAUAUACAGGAUAAUAUAAGUGAACAGUUAACAAGUGGCAUCAUGCCUGAGCAGUUAAGUCUUUACUAUCGUGAUCCUCAAGGGGAGAUUCAGGGACCAUUUCUUGGGGUAGACAUCAUAUCAUGGUUUGAUUAAGGAUUUUUCGGGGCAGAUUUGCCAGUUCGAGUGGAACCUUGAUAUCUCAAGUUGUCGUAUAUAUGGCAUUGCUCGUAGAUCAUAAGGCCACCAUCAUUGAUAAGCAUCCAGGCAUAUUGGUCAGCUUCCUUUGCCAAAACAAAUAAAUGAAGAAAAAGUGUUAACAGAAAUCAAUAGUGACAAGGAUGUCAUGUGGAUGAGUUUCACCUCUCAACAUUAGUAAACUUGCUAUGAAAGGAAGAGAACCCUUUUUUCUUCCUUGCACCCCAAAGGCAAGCCAAUCAAUCCCAUUUUUAUUUACCAUUUAGGAUAGGGUAUAAAUAUAAUAAACAAAACAGAUAAAUGAUUUUUUUUUCUGAAACACGGAUGUAUAGAACUUCUGAAAACGUGCAGUUGUUGGUAGAAGUAACAUUGUUGGGUUACCAGUUUCAAUACUUCUAUUGAAGGAAGAUGUAAUAGUUACUGUUGUUUAUCCGCGUACAGAGGAUCUAGAAAGUAUGAUUCAUGAGGCAGACAUUUUUAUUGCUGCUAUUGGACAACCCAUGAUGCUUGACGAUGGGGACAUUAUCUGCUUCCAAAAACCUCUCAAGGGCGGAACUGUAAAAAACCGCUAUCAAGAUGUUCCAUCUUUUCUGGAAUAUGUUCAUAAUCAUCAGGUUGUACGCUUUCGUUCACUGGAGAAACCAAAAGAGGAUGAGUUCUCAUUGGAACUAUAAGUUUCCUAAGAAUAAGAUCUUAAUUUCACGGUGGUUGCUGACUAAAAUCCAGCUCAACGCCUUGGUGCCAUAGGAGCUAUACAGUUAACAUUUUCUCUCUCCAUUAUAUAUAUAUAUAUAUAUAUAUAUAUAUAUAUAUAUAUAAAGAAAAGGAAAAGAGGUAGGAAGUUAAUUGAUAAAUAAUGUGUGUGACUUAUUAAUGAUAAACAAACAGGUAAAGACGCACCAUUUCUUUAAGAAUAUCCACUGGGACACAAUUUGUCAUCAUAGAAGAAGACCCUGCUGUCUCACAAGGGUAAUAUUGUAAUAGGGCUGACAUUGUUCUUAAGAUGCACAUUAAUGACAUUGUUGGGAGUUUUUUGUUUGAAGGUCUUCAACCUUCACAGACAAUGAUUGGACACUUAGUAGAAAUGGAGAGUCAACUGGUAGGGAAAUUGUUAAUUUUUCAAAGUAAAACAAAGGGUUGAUUGAACGAGAGAAAAGAAAACACCAACACUCCAUGGCUAAUAAGAAUAUAAAAAUAAAGAUAUGAGGCAAAAAAGUCUUUGUUUGACAGCUUGUACAAACUUUGUAGCACCUGAUCGUCCAUGCCACUCUUGGUAAAACAAAUUUAUAGUGUACUUCUUCCAUUCAUGUUAGUAAUUUCUCGUUAUGAUGUGUUGUUUCUUGUGCAAUUUUAUUUUUAGGAGGUAUUUUACUUUAUUAAAUGUUUAAAGUUACAGGACAUGAGUAUGGGCACAUCAUAGAAUAUUUUAGGGCAACUGUUGGUUUUCCUCUUGGUGAUCUGUCAAUGAAGUGGCCAACAUCAUGUAAAAACAUUUUAGGGGAAGAUGUAGGUAUAUAUUUUUUUAA